AAAAAUGGAACUGUCAUUGGAGCAAAUCAAUUCCCGGAGUUUAUUUUCCUGGAGAUUUCUUAUGGUUGUUGAAAUUAUAACUUGAAUAUAUUUUCAUAGAGGAAUUAGAAUGUGGCAUUUAUAGCGUUCUGAAUGGCCAAGUGAGAUUACAGAUGAUCAAAUGCUUAGAUUUUGGUGCUAGGUAUAGGCUAAUUAAAAUCUCUCUAUUUUUAAAUGUGG
rnacentral:lncRNA from 1 species